CAAAUAUAUUUUAAAGACUUUUCCAGAUAAAGCAUGACUAGAGGCCUUCAAAUGUUCACCAUGUAAUCCAUUCAUUCUGUUCCACAGUACAUGUUCACCAAAUUUAAAGUCAGAAUCUGUUCUAAGAUUUUAACCACAGCAGUACCAACUUGUGACUAGGAGCCAAGGUUUUCACUUCUUGUACUAGACUAGUAUUAAAAAUUCCAUGCAUGAUGAUCUCCAGUAUUGGUUAGAAUUAGUGAGGAUACAUUGUGAACCCUUUAAAACAUUAUGUUCAUUCACUCCUGCAAUUACGGUGUUCAUACUGGCACUACAGCGUUAAAGCCUGAGCGCAAAAAGCCUUAUAACUCUCAUCAUGGUGUUUUAUUACAGCGCUUGCAAUUGCGGCGUUUUGGUGCAAAAAGUGCCUUGUCAGUGUAGUCACCACUGUUGUUUCAGCACAAAAAGCUGACUUUUAGCGCAAAAACUUGCAAGUGUAGAUCAGGCCUAAGGCAGCCAGUUUUGUAUAGCAAGGAGAAGUCAUGUUUUCUUCAUCUUUUCACAGUCAGAGGGCUUGACCUGGCAUUUCUCAAAAGGUACGUUUUUAUUCACCAACAACCUACAUAAUUCUCAUCAGCUGUUUUAAAAAAAUGCUUUUCUGCCUGUGGAGCAAACAGAGGAACCACGAAUGACUCAUACUCUCUUCACAUGGGGAAGGAAUUUUCUAUAACAGUAAAUGCUACUGCUUUAAUCUGGAAAUACUGAAGUCCAAUAUUGUUUUCAUACCCUGUUUUGUAUUGGCCAGAACAUCUCCCUGUGUUACAUUACAGGGACUUGGUGAUGUGGUUAGAGUCCGGAGAGUCCCCUGCCUAACUUGCUGCUACUCGGAGGCAGUUAGCACAACCAUGGACUUUACAGUUUUGUUGCCUCUGUCCUUGCUUGUGGAGGGGAACUGGCAGGACAGCUCGGGACUGUUGCCAAAGGAGAACAAGUAGGAGGAGGUGGGCAAGGUUUCAGUGCAGUACUGCAGAUCGGAAGUCAUAUCACUGAAACUCUGACUGCCUUUCUGAAGAUCUUCCACUGUAGGUGAGAACAAAACUGAAAUUAAUCACUCACUUUUUGUCAACCUUAAUAAUUGGGGAGG
rnacentral:lncRNA from 1 species